rnacentral:rRNA from 1 species
GACGAACGCUGGCGGCGUGCUUAACACAUGCAAGUCGAACGGAAAGGCCCUGCUUUUGUGGGGUGCUCGAGUGGCGAACGGGUGAGUAACACGUGAGUAACCUGCCCUUGACUUUGGGAUAACUUCAGGAGACUGGGGCUAAUACCGGAUAGGAGCUUCUGCUGCAUGGUGGGGGUUGGAAAGUUUCGGCGGUUGGGGAUGGACGCGCGGCUUAUCAGCUUGUUGGUGGGGUAGUGGCUUACCAAGGCUUUGACGGGUAGCCGGCCUGAGAGGGUGACCGGCCACAUUGGGACUGAGAUACGGCCCAGACUCCUACGGGAGGCAGCAGUGGGGAAUAGUGCACAAUGGGCGGAAGCCUGAUGCAGCAACGCCGCGUGCGGGAUGACGGCCUUCGGGUUGUAAACCGCUUUCGCCUGUGACGAAGCGUGAGUGACGGUAAUGGGUAAAGAAGCACCGGCUAACUACGUG